CAAGGGCAGAAAGACAGAGCUUCUGGGAGCCAACUGACUGGAGCUGCUGCUGGGAUCACUAGGAGUGCUCUUGCUGCAGCUGACUCCUCCAGCACCAGAAAAGGUAAAACAUCACAAUGAAGGUGGCAGUUCUGUGUUUAUGCCUUAUCAGCAUCACCGCUGCAUGGCCAGUCAGUAAAUCCAAGCAGCAGGCCAUUUCUGCCAGCUCCGAAGAAAAAUAUG